rnacentral:rRNA from 1 species
UACGUAGGGUGCGAGCGUUAAUCGGAAUUACUGGGCGUAAAGCGUGCGUAGGCGGUUCUCCAAGUCCGUUGUGAAAGCCCCGGGCUCAACCUGGGAACGGCGGUUGAAACUACAGGACUAGAAUCUGGCAGAGGGGGGUGGAAUUCCACGUGUAGCAGUGAAAUGCGUAGAGAUGUGGAGGAACACCGAUGGCGAAGGCAGCCCCCUGGGCUGAGAUUGACGCUCAGGCACGAAAGCGUGGGGAGCAAACAGG